GACGAACGCUGGCGGCAUGCCUAAUACAUGCAAGUCGAGCGGACAGAAGGGAGCUUGCUCCCGGAAGUCAGCGGCGGACGGGUGAGUAACACGUGGGCAACCUGCCCCUUAGAUUGGGAUAACUUCGGGAAACCGAAGCUAAUACCGAAUAAUACAAGGAACCUCCUGGUUCUCUGUUGAAAGAUGGCCUUUGUGCUGUCACUAAGGGAUGGGCCCGCGGCGCACUAGCUAGUUGGUAAGGUAACGGCUUACCAAGGCGACGAUGCGUAGGCGACCUGAGAGGGUGAUCGGCCACACUGGGACUGAGACACGGCCCAGACUCCUACGGGAGGCAGCAGUAGGGAAUCUUCCGCAAUGGACGAAAGUCUGACGGAGCAAUGCCGCGUGAGUGAGGAAGGCCUUCGGGUCGUAAAGCUCUGUUGUGAGGGAAGAACAAGUACCGGCGUAACUACCGGUACCGUGACGGUACCUCACCAGAAAGCCACGGCUAACUACGUGCCAGCCGCCGCGGUAA
rnacentral:rRNA from 1 species